rnacentral:lncRNA from 1 species
GGCUCCUUGGGAUAGAUGGGGAAGCUGAGGCCCAGAAGGGGGCUGAGACCACCUCCCAGUUUCCCCAGUGAGGUGGCGCCUGAGCCACGGCCAGGCCCGGCCUCCUUCCACCCGGCCCUGCUGUGCGCGCGGCGGGUGCUGACCUGGCGAGGCCGGACAGGGGACCAGGUCGGGGUGACCGUCACUGACACCUGGACAGUCCUCGUUGUGUUCGGGGUGGGAAGCCCACGGGGAAGAGUGUAUCACAGCCAUUGGGAACUUUCUUCACCCAUCAAAGCCUCAGGGCUGAAGCAUCCUGAACAAGAACUCAGGAGAGUGAAAGAAACAGUUACCUGUCGGCUGCAGCUGGUACCAGCUCCCCACCCCGUACAGAGACCGAAGCGUCCUCUCUCUCCCCAUCACCCAGCACCAGACUCUGCCCCGCGACCUCAGCCUGCACCUGCUUCCUGGCUCCAUCCAGCCUUCCAGCCUCACUAGAUCAUCAUGGGCCACUGGCCAACACACAGGGCAGUGCCGAGCCCAGGCCGUGGUCACACAUGGCUGGGUUAGUAGCUGAAAACAUUGUUUUUCACUGGCCUCACAGUAAUGGCACCUGCCCCCAUUUUCUGUGAUUGAAUUUUUGGAUCCUGCUACCAGGUUAUGAUAGAUUUUAUGGUAUGUCUCAAGAUAUUGAGAUAAAGGUAAUAAAACAGCUAUAAAGUCCUGGCUCAAGAAGUGUUACAAACCCAAGCAGGGUAAAUACAAGAAAACUGCACCCAGACACAACAUAGUAAAAUUGCUGAAAACCAAAGAUGAAUAGAACACUUAACAGUUGGAGGAAAAAAGCCACAUUACCUUCAUAAGGACACCAAUCACACUAACAUCUGACUUCGAAAUAGAAAUAUAAAAGCCAAACUACAAGGGAAUGUGAUCUUCAAAAUAUUGAAAGAAUUUAAUUGUUAAGUGAAAUAAUUAACUGCCAACCUAAAUUCUAUUCCUAGUGGAAAUACUCUCCAAGAAUAAAGGUGAAAUAAAUACAGACUCACACAAGAGAAAUCAAGAGCGUUCUUCCUCAGGAGACAUGAGCUGAUUGGUAUAGAAGAGGUGUUUGAAACGUCCUUAGAGGGAGGGCUAGAGACACAGGGAGGAGAAACCUUCAGAACACACCUUCCAUUGAGGGCCAAAAAAGUCAACUAUCGAUUCUUUGAAAGUGCCCCAAACUCGUAAAUCUCUGGUGAUGCUGACCAAAAAAACAAUGAAGGAAGGCACCCUGUGAUGGGGAAGGAAAAGGGGAGAUUGCUGGAGAUCUGUGGAUAUUAAAAAUAGGCACAUAUACACUAUGGAAUACUAUGCAGCCAUAAAAAAGGAUGAGUUCAUGUCCUUUGUAGUGACAUGGAUGAAGCUGAAAACCAUCAUUCUGAGCAAACUUUCGCAAGGACAGAAAACCAAACACUGCA